UACGUAGGGUGCGAGCGUUGUCCGGAAUUACUGGGCGUAAAGAGCUCGUAGGUGGUUUGUCGCGUUGUUCGUGAAAACUCACAGCUUAACUGUGGGCGUGCGGGCGAUACGGGCAGACUGGAGUACUGCAGGGGAGACUGGAAUUCCUGGUGUAGCGGUGAAAUGCGCAGAUAUCAGGAGGAACACCGGUGGCGAAGGCGGGUCUCUGGGCAAUAACUGACGCUGAGGAGCGAAAGCGUGGGGAGCGAACAGG
rnacentral:rRNA from 1 species